rnacentral:rRNA from 1 species
UACGUAGGCAGCAAGCGUUGUUCGGAGUUACUGGGCGUAAAGAGUCUGUAGGCGGUGCUCUAAGUUUGGUGUGAAAUCUCCCGGCUUAACCGGGAGGGUGCGCCGAAGACUGGGGUGCUGGAGUCUGGGAGAGGAAAGCGGAAUUCCUGGUGUAGCGGUGAAAUGCGUAGAUGUCAGGAGGAACACCGGUGGUGUAGACGGCUUUCUGGACCAGUACUGACGCUGAGAGACGAAAGCGUGGGGAGCAAACAGG